CAUAAUGAAAGGCCUGAAAGUGUCAUAAACUGUUGCUUAAACAUAAUUUAUGACCUUUAAGAAGUAGAAACCCCUCCCAGAGUAAACUGUUAUCUUGGUUCUGAGAAAGUUUUUCUAUUGUAGUUUAACCCUCUAAAACAACAAAAUCCUUUUAUACCAAUACUGUUUGCUUAUAGCAUUACAAUUCAUACAUAAUCAAAGUCUCAAAAUUGUUUUUAUGGCAUAUUUUAUGAUAAUGCAUUUUAUUUUUAGAAUUCUGGGAGUUCAGAGGUCACAAGUACAAACUGCACUGAGAAAUGGAUGAUGGUUGUGAAUGGACUUGUGAGUGUAUUGAUGACAAGAUAGGUCACCGUAGACCAGUGGUUAAGGCGUCCGACUCGGGAUCAGGAGGUUGAAGGUUCGAGCCCCAUGGGGAGCGUUCAUCCGGGGGAUGUUUGUCAUGGGACUCAUUCCGAAAAGGCCUGUUCGUGAGCUGCGAGCUAGUUAAAUGAAUGAUUACCGACACCUAUCCGCCUGGCGCCUGGCAUAGUGAUAAGAGUUGGGAGGUUCCCACCUCAUGUGGACUUAACCAUCAAACUGUCAGCUGGUAAGGUAUGCCAACCCCUGCUGUAAAAUCCCGACCUGUAGCCCCACACCAUCUCACCUAACAACAAAGGGACCAGGACUUCAGCCAAUGACUACAGUACCAACACAGAGACCACAAAAUGUCCACUGUUUCCACCUUCAUCUUGUCCUAGGAGAGCCGACCCUUCACACUCCUGUUGUUUGAUACCAGACUGUAACAUUGGUAAAAUUCCUGCCACAGUGUAUCCACUAGGAUACAGCUAGUCUACAAUAAAUCCAGUCAUUAAACCAACACCAGUAACUGGUGGCUACAUCAUUGGUGGUGGACUGGUACCAUAUCAGACUGGUUCUGGCCUCGAAGGAUCAACAUCUGCUUGUUUAUAAAAUGGUCAAGUCUACAAACAAGGGGCUGCAUCAUCAGGACAGAUGGGUGUAAAUAUAAUUGUGAAUGUAUAGAUGUAGUGGGGGACAUUACAAGUGUACAAAAAGGUGUGCUGUAUGUGACCUUUACAUGCCUUGCUGCAACCUUGACACCCCUUGCGGCAACCUUGACACCCCUUGCGGCAACCUUGAUACUCCUGCAAAGUUGUUUUCCUGCAUGUAUCCACACACAUGAAGUGCUGGCGGCUAACGAAGAACUAUGGUCUCAUACUGAUGCUUAUCCAUAUUUUGUUUACAAUACUUACCUCCUUAUGCGAGUUCAGUGUAUUUGGAUAUGUUCAUCCAAAAGAAUGUGAUUCAAAUGAUUAAAUAAUGGGUCAGUAAGAAUCCUAUGUCAAAGAGUUUAUUAGUGGAUCUCCUUCACUUUCUUCUUUCCCUGUAUUUAUAUCGUAUUGUUGAAUUACAAUACAUUUUGGAUAUAUGAGUGAGUGAGUUGGGUUUUACGGGGAAUCGACACAAAAUGGU